rnacentral:rRNA from 1 species
GCACAAGCGUGGAUGAUGUGGAUUAAUUCGAUGCAACGCGAAGAACCUUACCUACCCUUGACAUGUCCGGAACUUGCCAGAGAUGGCUUGGUGCCCGAAAGGGAAUCGGAACACAGGUGCUGCAUGGCUGUCGUCAGCUCGUGUCGUGAGAUGUUGGGUUAAGUCCCGCAACGAGCGCAACCCUUAUCAUUAGUUGCUACGCAAGGGCACUCUAAUGAGACUGCCGGUGACAAACCGGAGGAAGGUGGGGAUGACGUCAAGUCCUCAUGGCCCUUAUGGGUAGGGCUUCACACGUCAUACAAUGGUCGGUACAGAGGGUUGCCAAGCCGCGAGGCGGAGCCAAUCCCACAAAGCCGAUCGUAGUCCGGAUUGUUCUCUGCAACUCGAGAGCAUGAAGUCGGAAUCGCUAGUAAUCGCAGGUCAGCAUACUGCGGUGAAUACGUUCCCGGGUCUU